rnacentral:rRNA from 1 species
GAUGAACGCUGGCGGCGUGCCUAAUACAUGCAAGUCGAGCGAACAGACGAGGAGCUUGCUCCUCUGACGUUAGCGGCGGACGGGUGAGUAACACGUGGAUAACCUACCUAUAAGACUGGGAUAACUUCGGGAAACCGGAGCUAAUACCGGAUAACAUGUUGAACCGCAUGGUUCAACAGUGAAAGACGGUCUUGCUGUCACUUAUAGAUGGAUCCGCGCCGCAUUAGCUAGUUGGUGAGGUAACGGCUUACCAAGGCAACGAUGCGUAGCCGACCUGAGAGGGUGAUCGGCCACACUGGAACUGAGACACGGUCCAGACUCCUACGGGAGGCAGCAGUAGGGAAUCUGCCGCAAUGGGCGAAAGCCUGACGGAGCAACGCCGCGUGAGUGAAGAAGGUCUUCGGAUCGUAAAACUCUGUUAUUAGGGAAGAACAAAUGUGUAAGUAACUAUGCACGUCUUGACGGUACCUAAUCAGAAAGCCACGGCUAACUACGUG